rnacentral:rRNA from 3 species
GGGUUGUGAGGUUAAGCGACUAAGCGUACACGGUGGAUGCCCUGGCAGUCAGAGGCGAUGAAGGGCGUGCUAAUCUGCGAUAAGCGCCGGUAAGGUGAUAUGAACCGUUAUAACCGGCGAUACCCGAAUGGGGAAACCCAGUGUGAUUCGUCACACUAUCAUUAACUGAAUCCAUAGGUUAAUGAGGCGAACCGGGGGAACUGAAACAUCUAAGUACCCCGAGGAAAAGAAAUCAACCGAGAUUCCCCCAGUAGCGGCGAGCGAACGGGGAGGAGCCCAGAGCCUGAAUCAGCAUGUGUGUUAGUGGAAGCGUCUGGAAAGGCGCGCGAUACAGGGUGACAGCCCCGUACACAAAAGCGCAUGUGCUGUGAGCUCGAUGAGUAGGGCGGGACACGUGGUAUCCUGUCUGAAUAUGGGGGGACCAUCCUCCAAGGCUAAAUACUCCUGACUGACCGAUAGUGAACCAGUACCGUGAGGGAAAGGCGAAAAGAACCCCGGCGAGGGGAGUGAAAAAGAACCUGAAACCGUGUACGUACAAGCAGUGGGAGCACAGGUUUACCUGUGUGACUGCGUACCUUUUGUAUAAUGGGUCAGCG